AACGAACGCUGGCGGCAUGCCUAACACAUGCAAGUCGAACGAGACCUUCGGGUCUAGUGGCGCACGGGUGCGUAACGCGUGGGAACCUGCCCUUAGGUUCGGAAUAACUCCCCGAAAGGGGUGCUAAUACCGGAUAAUGUCUUCGGACCAAAGAUUUAUCGCCUUUGGUUGGGCCCGCGUUGGAUUAGCUAGUUGGUAGGGUAAAAGCCUACCAAGGCGACGAUCCAUAGCUGGUCUGAGAGGAUGAUCAGCCACACUGGGACUGAGACACGGCCCAGACGCCUACGGGAGGCAGCAGGGGGGAAUAUUGGACAAUGGGCGAAAGCCUGAUCCAGCAAUGCCGCGUGAGUGAUGAAGGCCUUAGGGUUGUAAAGCUCUUUUACCCGGGAUGAUAAUGACAGUACCGGGAGAAUAAGCUCCGGCAAACUCCGU
rnacentral:rRNA from 1 species